rnacentral:rRNA from 1 species
UCGAGCGAAGCGAUUUAAAUGAGACUUCGGUGGAUUUUAAAUUGACCGAGCGGCGGACGGGUGAGUAACGCGUGGAUAACCUGCCUCACACAGGGGGAUAACAGUUAGAAAUGACUGCUAAUACCGCAUAAGCGCACGGUACCGCAUGGUACAGUGUGAAAAACUCCGGUGGUGUGAGAUGGAUCCGCGUCUGAUUAGGUAGUUGGUGAGGUAACGGCCCACCAAGCCGACGAUCAGUAGCCGACCUGAGAGGGUGACCGGCCACAUUGGGACUGAGACACGGCCCAAACUCCUACGGGAGGCAGCAGUGGGGAAUAUUGCACAAUGGGCGAAAGCCUGAUGCAGCAACGCCGCGUGAGUGAAGAAGUAUCUCGGUAUGUAAAGCUCUAUCAGCAGGGAAGAAAAUGACGGUACCUGACUAAGAAGCCCCGGCUAACUACGUGCCAGCAGCCGCGGUAAUACGUAGGGGGCAAGCGUUAUCCGGAUUUGCUGGGUGUAAAGGGAGCGCAGACGGCACUGCAAGUCUGAAGUGAAAGCCCGGGGCUCAACCCCGGGACUGCUUUGGAAACUGUAGAGCUAGAGUGCUGGAGAGGCAAGCGGAAUUCCUAGUGUAGCGGUGAAAUGCGUAGAUAUUAGGAAGAACACCAGUGGCGAAGGCGGCUUGCUGGACAGUAACUGACGUUCAGGCUCGAAAGCGUGGGGAGCAAACAGGAUUAGAUACCCUGGUAGUCCACGCCGUANACGAUGAAUACUAGGUGNUGGUGGGCAA